rnacentral:rRNA from 2 species
AAUUCGCCCUUACNNUUUGAUCCUGGCUCAGAUUGAACGCUGGCGGCAUGCCUUACACAUGCAAGUCGAACGGCAGCACGGACUUCGGUCUGGUGGCGAGUGGCGAACGGGUGAGUAAUGUAUCGGAACGUACCUUUCAGUGGGGGAUAACGUAGCGAAAGUUACCGCUAAUACCGCAUAUUCUGUGAGCAGGAAAGCAGGGGAUCGAAAGACCUUGCGCUGAUUGAGCGGCCGAUAUCAGAUUAGCUAGUUGGUGGGGUAAAGGCCUACCAAGGCGACGAUCUGUAGCGGGUCUGAGAGGAUGAUCCGCCACACUGGAACUGAGACACGGUCCAGACUCCUACGGGAGGCAGCAGUGGGGAAUUUUGGACAAUGGGGGCAACCCUGAUCCAGCCAUGCCGCGUGAGUGAAGAAGGCCUUCGGGUUGUAAAGCUCUUUCGGCCGGGAAGAAAUCGCAUAGGCUAAUACCCUGUGUGGAUGACGGUACCGGAAUAAGAAGCACCGGCUAACUACGUGCCAGCAGCCGCGGUAAUACGUAGGGUGCGAGCGUUAAUCGGAAUUACUGGGCGUAAAGCGUGCGCAGGCGGUUUCGUAAGACAGAAGUGAAAUCCCCGGGGCUCAACCUGGGAACUGCCUUUGUGACUGCGAGGCUAAAAUACGGCAAAAGGGGGUGGAAUUCCACGUGUACCAGUGAAAUGCGUAGAAAAUGUGGAGGAACMCCGAWGGCGAAGGCANCCCCCUGGGCCGAWUMUUGACSUUCAUGCACSAAAGCGUGGGUAGCAAACAGGAUWAGAUACCUUGGUAGUCCCACGCCYUWAACRAUGUCAACUAGGUGKUGGGGKGGGUAAAACMWUUWAKACCSUARCUAACGCGUGAARUUGACCGCCUUGGGGAGUACGGCCGCAAGGUUAAAACUCAAAGGAAUUGACGGGGACCCGCACAARCGGUGGAUGAUKUGGAUUAAUUCGAUGCAACGCGAAAAACCUUACCUACCCUUGACAUGUCCAGAAGCCCGAAGAGAUUUGGGUGUGCCCGAAAGGGAGCUGGAACACAGGUGCUGCAUGGCUGUCGUCAGCUCGUGUCGUGAGAUGUUGGGUUAAGUCCCGCAACGAGCGCAACCCUUGUCGUUAAUUGCCAUCAUUUAGUUGGGCACUUUAACGAGACUGCCGGUGACAAACCGGAGGAAGGUGGGGAUGACGUCAAGUCCUCAUGGCCCUUAUGGGUAGGGCUUCACACGUCAUACAAUGGUCGGUACAGAGGGUUGCCAAGCCGCGAGGUGGAGCCAAUCCCAGAAAGCCGAUCGUAGUCCGGAUUGCAGGCUGCAACUCGCCUGCAUGAAGUCGGAAUCGCUAGUAAUCGCGGAUCAGCAUGUCGCGGUGAAUACGUUCCCGGGUCUUGUACACACCGCCCGUCACACCAUGGGAGCGGGUUCCGCCAGAAGUAGGUAGCCUAACCGCAAGGGGGGCGCUUACCACGGCGGGGUUCGUGACUGGGGUGGAGUCGUAACAAGGUAACCNAGGGCG